ACCAGCAGCUAUAUCAUCACUGAAGCUCAGCAGGUCUGAGCCUGGCCAGUACCUGGAUGGGAGACCUCCUGGGAAAAACUAAGGUUGCUGCUUGAA
rnacentral:rRNA from 1 species